rnacentral:misc_RNA from 1 species
GAUGAAGAACGUAGUGAAAUGCGAUACGUAAUGUGAAUUGCAAAUUCAGUGAAUCAUCGAGUCUUUGAACGCACAUUGCGCCCCCUGGUAUUCCGGGGGGCAUGCCUGUCCGAGCGUCAUUGCUGCCCUCAAGCACGGCUUGUGUGUUGGGCCCCGUCCUCCGAUCCCGGGGGCCGGGCCCGAAAGGCAGCGGCGGCACCGCGUCCGGUCCUCGAGCGUAUGGGGCUUUGUCACCCGCUCUGUAGGCCCGGCCGGCGCUUGCCGAUCAACCCAAAUUUUUAUCCAGGUUGACCUCGGAUCAGGUAGGGAUACCCGCUGAACUUAAGCAUAUCAAUAAGCGGAGGA